UGUGCCAGCAGCCGCGGUAAUACAGAGGGUGCGAGCGUUAAUCGGAAUUACUGGGCGUAAAGAGCUCGUAGGCGGUUCGGUAAGUCGGGUGUGAAAACUCUGGGCUCAACCCAGAGCCGCCACCCGAUACUGCUGUGACUCGAGUGCGGUAGGGGAGCGGGGAAUUCCUGGUGUAGCGGUGAAAUGCGCAGAUAUCAGGAGGAACACCAGUGGCGAAGGCGCCGCUCUGGGCCGUGACUGACGCUGAGGAGCGAAAGCGUGGGUAGCAAACAGGAUUAGAUACCCUGGUAGUCCACGCCGUAAACGUUGGGCACUAGGUGUGGGUCUCAACCAACGAGAUCCGCGCCGUCGCUAACGCAUUAAGUGCCCCGCCUGGGGAGUACGGCCGCAAGGCUAAAACUCAAAGGAAUUGACGGG
rnacentral:rRNA from 1 species